GGGGUAUUUUGAGCUGAAACUUCACAGACACAUUCAGGAGACACCUUAGAUUUAUAUUACAUCUUGUGAAAAAGCAUUCUUGGGCACCUUUAAGCUGGUAAUUGGUCGGGCUGGUUUGUAGAAUCAAACUGAAUUGAAAUGAAGCUCUAGUGCAAGUUCUGCCGGGAAGACUCAAAUGUUACGUCACCUAUUAGUUCAGAUCUAACCAAUGAUUAUCUAACACUUGGAGUAUAAAAGAUCGGUACUUACACAUGUCUGAGUUCGCAGAUGCUGACGCCAACCUUCACCUCCAUCCUCCCCACCACCAACAGGUCCCUGUCCAUUCUUCCUGGGGGUCGGCUACGCCCCUGCCUUCAGCUUCAGGCAGGAAACGCAAAGUCUGCAGCCCUCAGGAUGUGAGCUACGGACAGGGCCUACGCCAAAGAACCUUAUCUUGUUAUAUUUUGCUUGCUGAUUGGUGGGAAGUCGGUGUGGAGCCGUACGAGAGCACUUCAGGUCACAUUCACACUCACUCAACAUCCACACAGCGGGAUAUGGCAGAACCUUAAGUGGGGCACUUACCCCUACUUGCCUCAGUAAAUAUGCAGCUGUAUAAACUCUUUAAAUUAAUGAUAUGUAACCAGAAAAAGAAGAGCUUUGCACUUUCUGGUAACAUAAACGCUAUUAGGCUGCCAUCAGCGGAGGAGUCUGAAAUGCUUGUGCUAUGAAACGGACAGUUUGCUCUGCGCCCUCAAGCUGAAAGUGUAUAUAUCAUGGGCAGAUGAUAACAUUCAAACAUCUGACACGCUAUUAAGUUGAUGCUCAGCCAUUUCUGAGUAAUACCUCUUUUGUUACCUAAAGACUUUAUGAAUAUUUUAUCUCAGUACAUUUCCUUGAGUCCAAUUUCUAACAUAUAUAAAGUGUCCCAAAGUUUGUAUGUCUUUUUUUACAGUAUCUACAGUUGCUAGCCAUAUUAUGGUACCGUUGUAAGAGUUUUAUAAAUAUAUCAGUUCCAGAACU